rnacentral:rRNA from 1 species
AGUGAACGCUGGCGGUAGGCCUAACACAUGCAAGUCGAACGGCAGCACAGUAAGAGCUUGCUCUUACGGGUGGCGAGUGGCGGACGGGUGAGGAAUACAUCGGAAUCUACUUUUUCGUGGGGGAUAACGUAGGGAAACUUACGCUAAUACCGCAUACGACCUACGGGUGAAAGCAGGGGAUCUUCGGACCUUGCGCGAUUGAAUGAGCCGAUGUCGGAUUAGCUAGUCGGCGGGGUAAAGGCCCACCAAGGUGACGAUCCGUAGCUGGUCUGAGAGGAUGAUCAGCCACACUGGAACUGAGACGCGGUCCAGACUCCUACGGGAGGCAGCAGUGGGGAAUAUUGGACAAUGGGCACAAGCCUGAUCCAGCCAUACCGCGUGGGUGAAGAAGGCCUUCGGGUUGUAAAGCCCUUUUGUUGGGAAAGAAAAGCAGCAGGUUAAUACCCCGCUGUUCUGACGGUACCCAAAGAAUAAGCACCGGCUAACUUCGUG